AAUUAAAUGGUUUAAUUGAAGAAUGGUCAAGAUUAAUUAAUUAGUUAAUUAAUUUUACGAAAUGUUCGUAUUGGGCUUUUAAGUUGGUUUUGGGUUUCGGGGCCCAAAAGUGUUUUGGCCCACAAGGUCCAUUAUGUUUAAGUUGUAUGACAACUAAAACAAAAUGGGCAAUAAGCCCAAUCACAACAAAUAGGCUGGCCAUGGUGAGGAGAGGGUGAAGGUUUGCUUAAUUGCAAGUUUGCCACUCACCUAAGAAAAGUGUUAUAAAAGCAACUUUAUAGCUAUUUUUCUCAUAAGGGUUUUUCUUGUAGAAAAGAGGUGAAACCUAUUCUCUCUUUUUAAACAAGGAGGCCGGCCACUUAGAGGAGAUUUAUCUAGCAAUUUUUUCUUCUCUAAGUCAUCCAUUUCAUCUUCACACCUCACCCUUGGUGUGGAGACUUAGAGACA
rnacentral:lncRNA from 1 species